CUCUCACAGCAUUAAAACUUGGUCUAUGAGUAUAAAUACAAAACUAACCGAGUAAAUUACAUUCAAAAGGCUUGCCCAUAUACGGAGAAAGAGAGAGAACAGAGUUGUUCGUUGGAUUAAUAGGCUAGGAUAGAGGUAGAGUUCAUAAGGCCUCAAGAGAAAGAGAGAAAUAUCCAAGGCCGGCCAUUGUCCAUCCCCUAGCCAGACUUAGACCAUCGAAAUAGCAAGCACAUAAAGAAACCGUUAGGUCAUAUAUCAACCACCCAAAUCGUCGAAAUCGGCACUGGCAAAUUUUUUUCUUUUUCCAUUUUUUAGAUUUAGGUAUGAAAUGUUACUUUUAAUUGAGUUUUUUUUGUUGGAUAGGUUUAGAUUUGAUUCGUUUUUGUUUUGGGUUUUAGGGUUUUCUAUCAAAAUGUUUGUAGAUAUUUCUCUUCCUCGGCAACAGUAUUAGCCCAGAGCAUCAGACAUUUGAGAAUCAUUUUAACUUUAUUUAGUUUUAUUGAUCCACUAAUGUUGAUAAUUGCUUUAGUUUGAGUGUUGUUGGUUUCUAAUCCAUUAAUAUAUCAAUUGGAGAUGGGUGGAGAAGACAGUCGCAUGGUGGAGGGUUCUUAGAACAAAAAAGACGAUCCCUAGAGAUUCCUCGAAUUCUACAAUGAUACAAAGAAGUGUGGAAUAUCAAUUUCUUUUUGGUUGCAAACUAUGCAGCAUCUUUCAAGCAGUUUCCAUAAUUAUUAAGAAGUUGUGAUGUGGGAGAUUUCAAGAAAUGUGGUGAAGCAUUUAACUCAAUACAUCUAUGAUCAACUACUCAACUAAUCAAGACAUUUUUAUUGCUAUUGGACACAAUUUGCAUGAUCGCGUCUAUGAUUCGUAUUGGGUGGUAUUUCUCAUCUAUUAGAUCCAAAUAAAUGUAACUUUAAAGUUUAGUUUUUGCUUUUGUUUAUACUUGGUUCUUUUUUUUUAUAUAUAAGUUUUGUAUCAUCCGUUUUAGUGAAGUAGGGAGUAGAAAAGAUAUUUGUGAUCUACAGUUGAUUCAAGGGUUCAACCCAAUGCGAUUUUGACUAAUGUCAGAGGCUAAGGUGCAUACUGCAUAGGCAUGUGCGCAAAAAUGAGUUUUUUUUUUUUUUUUUAAUGUAUGUAUGGACAUAAUAUUGGGACAAAUUGUGGUUUCAAUUGCAAUCUUAAAUAAAUAUUUUCUAUUUUUAUUGCACC